rnacentral:rRNA from 1 species
GUCCACGCUGUAAACGAUGGGUACUAGGCUUGGCGGGUCUUGACCCCUGCUGAGCCGGCGCUAACGCAAUAAGUACCCCGCCUGGGAAGUACGGUCGCAAGACUAAAACUCAAAGGAAUUGACGGGGGCCCGCACAAGCGGUGGAUCAUGUGGUUUAAUUCGAAGCAACGCGAAAAACCUUACCUGGGUUUGACAUCCUUUGACAUCCGUAGAGAUACGGCUUUCGUAGCAAUACGACAAAGUGACAGGUGCUGCAUGGCUGUCGU